UAGGGAAUCUUCCACAAUGGACGCAAGUCUGAUGGAGCAACGCCGCGUGAGUGAAGAAGGUCUUCGGAUCGUAAAACUCUGUUGUUAGAGAAGAACACGAGUGAGAGUAACUGUUCAUUCGAUGACGGUAUCUAACCAGCAAGUCACGGCUAACUACGCGCCAG
rnacentral:rRNA from 1 species